ACUGGAGCAUACAGGUCUGUGAUGCCCUUAGAUGUUCUGGGCUGCACGCGCGCGACACUGAUCUAUUCAACGAGUGGCUGUGUCGAUAGACUUGGCAAAUCUUGUGAAAGUAGAUCGUGAUGGGGAUUGAUGCUUGUAAUUGUUCAUCAUGAACGAGGAAUUCCUAGUAAACGCAAGUCAUCAACUUGCAUUGAUUACGUCCCUGCCCUUUGUACACACCGCCCGUCGCACCUACCGAUUGAAUGGUCCGAUGAACACUUUGGAUUUUAGUAAA
rnacentral:rRNA from 1 species